UUGAUAUAAUGUAUGUCAUUUUUCCAUAUGAAAUUAAAUCACAUUUUGUCAAUACUGUGACGAGUGGGGCGGGGCCAAGAGCCGUGGGAACAGGCCGAGGCCGGUGGAGUGAUUUGGAAAUGAGCGACACCUGCUCGACCCACCGGUCUCGAGUCCCGCGGAAGAGAUGGAAGGAUAUAAAACAGGAGCGACGACAGUGAAGGACGAGAGAGGACCAGGCCUGGAUUUAUUUUGUGUUUGGAUUUUGUUUGUGCAGUUUGGGCAGUCGUCCGUGAGGGGCUGCCACGCUGUUUGUGUUUAUUUUAUUAUUAAAGCUCUCAUUUUGAUUGUCCGCCGGUUCCCGUCUCCUUCUUCCCCUGAAUAUGAAGUUUUGUAGCGUUACAAAUACUUUUGAGAAAGUUGUUAUCAACAUGGAGAGACUGAGCAGCUUAUGAUAAUCUGGAGAUUCCCUCCUCUUUGGCAAGUAAUAUUCUUGCUCUACUUUUCCCUUUGUUUACCCUCUAGCUAUUACUGUGACAUAAUUGUGACGUUGCCCCUUAAAAGGGUCUACAGUAUUGUAGAACAUACUCCAACAAUGAAACUCAAGACUCAAUAUUUAUGGGCACUUUAUUAUGCACUAUUUCAAAGUUUGGGUGAGCUGGUGGUCUUCACAUGUAUUCACCAUGUUUAAUCAGGGGAGUGGACAACCAUGGUACAAGGAAUUGUUUUACAAAAUCAUGUAACUUUGUCACACGUUUGGCAUUCGAACAAUGUUGUUGACACUGUGCACAGAUGGAGUAAUAACUUAACAACUAAUUAAUCAAUUCGAGAUCACAUUAAAUGUUAGAUUGGUAUAGUUCAUGACAGAAAGCCAUUUAUUUAUUUUUUAAACCAUGCAUUUCAUAAUGUGUACAAUGUGUGUUAGAAAGUUUGCAUAAUAAUAAUAAAUAAAAAACAUAAAUCCCCAAAAUAUCUUGUGAUUUAUGGGACAAAUCCAUUAAAAACUCAACAGCGUGAGAGAUCACGCAACCUGAGCUUGUCAAAUGUAUACUCAUACAAAUAACCCUCUUUUUCAGACAGCAGAACCAUAUGGCGAUGAAACAGGCUUAUGACAUGAUAAAUGGGAAAUGAACCAAUCAGAAGAUGGACCAUUUUCUGUUGGCACCAUUCAGGUAGAAGCCUCUACUAUUGCAAUCCUACAUGACCGGGAAGGUACUUAAUGUCAGCGCACAUCUAACCCUUCACUACAGACAAGCUAAAGGCUAAAUCCUCAAUUGGAGUACUUCUCUCUAUGGAUCUCAUCAUUUUUGGACAAAAUUUAGAAUAAGUAUUAAAAUUAAAUCUGGUAUAAUUUAGUUUACAGUACAGCUGAAAUAUUUUUGAAUAUGUUACAAGCUGUUACUUACAAAUAAAUAUUCUUAGAGUAAAAAAGGUUUAAAAAUGUUGGUUAAAAAUAAAUUGACACUAAUGUGGAAUUUUCGCCUCUGUCUCUGUUUCAAUAAAGUGUUGAAACCCGUAA